rnacentral:rRNA from 1 species
CGGCGGACGGGUGAGUAACGCGUGGGUAACCUGCCUCAUACAGGGGGAUAACAGUUGGAAAUGGCUGCUAAUACCGCAUAAGCGCACAGUACCGCAUGGUACGGUGUGAAAAACCCAGGUGGUGUGAGAUGGAUCCGCGUCUGAUUAGCCAGUUGGCGGGGUAACGGCCCACCAAAGCGACGAUCAGUAGCCGACCUGAGAGGGUGACCGGCCACAUUGGGACUGAGACACGGCCCAA